CAGCCGCCGCGGUAAUACGUAGGUGGCAAGCGUUGUCCGGAAUUAUUGGGCGUAAAGGGCUCGCAGGCGGUUUCUUAAGUCUGAUGUGAAAGCCCCCGGCUCAACCGGGGAGGGUCAUUGGAAACUGGGAAACUUGAGUGCAGAAGAGGAGAGCGGAAUUCCACGUGUAGCGGUGAAAUGCGUAGAGAUGUGGAGGAACACCAGUGGCGAAGGCGACUCUCUGGUCUGUAACUGACGCUGAGGAGCGAAAGCGUGGGGAGCGAACGGGAUUAGAUACCCCCGUAGUCCCUGUCUCUUAUAC
rnacentral:rRNA from 1 species